GCCAGACUCCUACGGGAGGCAGCAGUGGGGAAUAUUGCACAAUGGGGGGAACCCUGAUGCAGCGACGCCGCGUGGGUGAAGAAGUAUUUCGGUAUGUAAAGCCCUAUCGGCAGGGAAGAAAUUGGACGGUACCUGACUAAGAAGCCCCGGCUAACUACGUGCCAGCAGCCGCGGUAAUACGGAGGGGGCAAGCGUUAUCCGGAUUCACUGGGUGUAAAGGGAGCGUAGACGGCCAUGCAAGCCUGGAGUGAAAGCCCGGGGCCCAACCCCGGGACUGCUCUGGGAACUGUGCGGCUGGAGUGCGGGAGGGGCAGGCGGAAUUCCUGGUGUAGCGGUGAAAUGCGUAGAUAUCAGGAGGAACACCGGCGGCGAAGGCGGCCUGCUGGACCGCGACUGACGUUGAGGCUCGAAAGCGUGGGGAGCAAACAGGAUUAGAUACCCCUGUAA
rnacentral:rRNA from 1 species